UAUAGGAUUUUCAUCCUAUCCUGAUUUAAAUCGUCCCUUCGGGACU
rfam:Chryseobacterium arachidis strain DSM 27619 genome assembly, contig: Ga0131169_101